rnacentral:rRNA from 1 species
UGAGUAACCUGCCCUUCACUCUGGGAUAACUCCGGGAAACCGGGGCUAAUACUGGAUAUGACUCGAACAGGCAUCUGUUUCGGGUGGAAAGAUUUAUUGGUGGAGGAUGGACUCGCUGCCUAUCAGCUUGUUGGUGAGGUAAUGGCUCACCAAGGCGACGACGGGUAGCCGGCCUGAGAGGGCGAUCGGCCACACUGGGACUGAGACACGGCCCAGACUCCUACGGGAGNA